UUCAAUUUUAGUGUCAAAGACAACCUAAAGGUUAUGAGUGUGGUUACUACAUUAUGAUACAUAUGUUGAACAUUGUAUCUAGUGGUCUUGUUGAUUCAUGGAUGCGGAUAUUUGGAGAAUCAAAACCAUUCGAAGAUGAAGAAAUGAUGAAUGUCC